rnacentral:rRNA from 1 species
GAUGAACGCUGGCGGCGUGCCUAAUACAUGCAAGUCGAGCGAACGGACGAGAAGCUUGCUUCUCUGAUGUUAGCGGCGGACGAGUGAGUAACACGUGGAUAACCUACCUAUAAGACUGGGAUAACUUCGGGAAACCGGAGCUAAUACCGGAUAAUAUUUUGAACCGCAUGGUUCAAAAGUGAAAGACGGUCUUGCUGUCACUUAUAGAUGGAUCCGCGCUGCAUUAGCUAGUUGGUAAGGUAACGGCUUACCAAGGCAACGAUGCAUAGCCGACCUGAGAGGGUGAACGGCCACACUGGAACUGAGACACGGUCCAGACUCCGACGGGAGGCAGCAGUAGGGAAUCUUCCGCAAUGGGCGAAAGCCUGACGGAGCAACGCCGCGUGAGUGAUGAAGGUCUUCGGAUUGUAAAACUCUGUUAUUAGGGAAGAACAUAUGUGUAAGUAACUGUGCACAUCUUGACGGUACCUAAUCAGAAAGCCACGGCUAACUACGUG